UGCUAUUAAUCUUUGAUUAAGCACUUUGAUGGGACUGCCCGGGAAACCGGGAGGAAGGUGGGGAUGACGUCAAGUCAUCAUGGUCCUUAUGUCCAGGGCUACACACGUGUUACAAUGGCUAAUACAAAGGGAAGCAAUACCGUAAGGUGGAGCGAACCCCACAAAGUUAGUCUAAGUUCGGAUUGAGGUCUGCAAUUCGACCUCAUGAAGUUGAAAUCGCUAGUAAUCGCGUAUCAUAACGGCGCGGUGAAUACGUUCUCGGACCUUGUACACACCGCCCGUCACACCAUGAGAGCUGCCUGUACCCAAAAUCAUCUUAGCCAACCUGAAAAGGAGGCGGGUGCCUAAGGUAUGUGUGGUGAUUGGGGUG
rnacentral:rRNA from 1 species